CAUCAGUAGUUCCUGGUGUCAGAUGUUUAGUAUGAUGCAAAUGACUGAAGCUACAAAUCACUGUCAAUGGCAUGUGCAGAGUAAGCUACCCUAACACCAAGUAGGUGGCAGUCAAAGAUAAGAAAACGCAGGGCUCUAAGAAAACGA